GGCUCUCCCGAUCUGUGCGCUAUGCCGAUCGGGUGUCUGCACUCAGUUCGGCAUCAAUAUGGUGACCUCCCGGGAGCGGGGGACCACCAGGUUGCCUAAGGAGGGGUGAAU